GGGUGAAAGCAACCCUAGAGCCCUCAUCAUUCCCUCCAUCCACUCCCCAAUGCCUCCUCAUCCCCAGCCGGCGGCUCGACCUCUCGUGCCCUCGCCGCCAUCAACCUCUCCUGCACUCACACGCCAGCCGCCGAUCUCCCGCGCCCUCACCCAUUAGCAGCCGAAGUCGCUCUCCCCCGCAAGUCGCCGUGCUCGGGAUUUAUGGCUGCUCCUUCGCCUCGCCCAUCUAGAUCCGCCAUCGCCUCCCUCCCUUGCUGAUGUUCAUCUUAUCUAUUUAUGCAGGGGGCUCGUCCUUCCGUGGUGCUCAGCCACCGUCCGGUUUGGAGGGGGAAUAGGAGACCCCCAACGAAAACGAGCAUGCUAGCGGUGGACACAAGGAUGCGCGGUGAUUGUGCCAGGUCCAUGCUCCAGUUCUUCUGUUGGAACUAGGAGGUGCAGAUAAAUAAGAGUUGUUGGCAGCAGCAACCUACACAUGUGGAAAUAGUGGUUAUGGCAGCUCAAAGGGAAGUUCUGUCUGCUAGACAGCAACUCACAACUUAGUGGCGGCUCAAUGCUAUUCCUCAUGUUGCAACCUUUUCCCGUAGAAUCAAAAGGAGUUAGAUGGAAGAAAUUGCAGGAGAGCAGGAAUGGUAUUCCCGGCGUGACAUUCAAAAGCAGUCAAGAUGGUGAGGUUUAGAACGGAGGAGCUCCGCGGAAUUAUGGAUAGAAAAUAUCCAUAACAUGUCUGUCAUUGCCAUGUCGACCGUGCCCUUUGAUUCUACAAGCCGCAAAGGAGCAAAGUGUAGAAAAUAUGUCCAUUGUUGUUGAAUUGGAGGGAUUGUCACCAAGUUAGUGCUUCAGAUUGUUUCUAUUUUAGAGCAAGAAGCCAAAUCAUGUUGUUCAUUGUAAAUCUUCAAAAACCUGAUUAUUGUCACUGUUAUAUCUGUUAUAAACUUUUGUUCGUGAUGUGGUACUUGUCAA